UAAUUAUCCAAUGCUAAGCCAAACGUCCCCAGACCAUUGCCUAUCAAGUGUGAACUUCACUUGUCUUUGUCGAGUUCGCUGGCUCAACUCACCAUUCUCCUAAAAGGGCGGGCACCCUGCAGUACCGCCUUCAACGCACAGUCGAUGAGCUCGACGACGAAAGCGUGGGCUGUUCACGCGUCGCAAAAUGGCUGAGAUCGUGAAGCAGGGGCGAAAGUUGAGUAUAAACUGAAGCGACCGAGUCCACUCAAGCAGGAUUACUUUUUUUUUUUUUUCUUAAGAUAGGGACACAAAUACAGAAAUUAAGGAGAGAACUUGACGUCUUAAUAAAAUUAUAAUAAUUUUAUCAAGAUUUCGUAUUUUAUUUAAUCACUGUACGCACACACUUCACACCUGUGGGAUCCGAUGAACCAAGCAGGACUACUUGGCUUAUGUUGAGUAGAGAUUCAACUUCACUCGCUUCGCUACCUCCGCCAGAAAUUGGUGGCGCGUGAGCUUAAAAGAAGGGAAAUAAAAAAACAAAAAAGAUAUCAGUUUCUGAUUUUUCCGGGUUUUGAGAAUCGUCCUCGUCAUGCUGAGGAUUUAACCCAAAAUGUUAGAAAGGAAUCCGUAUAACCGACCUUAAGUUGGGUUGAGUUGAGUUGAGUUGAGAAUCGUCGUGCUGUAAUGAGAUGUAAGGGAGAGAUUGAACUGAGGUUUCGGUAAUUGGAGUUCUGUAGGGAUCGAAGGAAUGGCAGAAUGAAAAAGGUAUAUUUUGUGUGUGUGUUUUGUCCCUGUUUGGUUGCUGAGAAAGUAGGUAUUUUUUUUGUUUUUUUGGUGCUUGGUUGUUGAGAAAGUGAAGUACUGGAUAAGAAAAGGAAAGUUUUUUAUUUUUAAGAAAUCAAUAAUGCAUGGACUACACCAGUUGGAUUCAGUUUUAUGCUAAUUUUGAUUGUUCAUUGACACUUUUGGGAACAAGUUUUUGUAAGAUUCUUUAAUGUAAUUAAGACAUAUGGAGGUUUUGUGGAAAAGUUGAGGUUUUUGAAGGUCUAAAAUUCUCAGUUUCUCAAUCCAGGUGUUGAAAAGGUUUUUAUAAAUUGAACAUUAGAUAUUAUCAUUCCUUAUUUUCUCAUAUCAUCCGAGAAACAUCAAGCAACAUAACCAUCAUUUACCUUACCUUUCAUUACUUUAUCUUUUCUCCUUACACCCUCCCAAACCAAGUUUAACGUGUAUUGGUUGGAAUAAUCUUUUGUUUAGGUGUUUUUGAGGUAUGUGCUUCAUUCUUGUUAGUGUUUACUAUAACGGUUUCCCCUGGAGAGGACAAGGGAACUUUAGUCCCUGAUCAUGUAGAUGCUGAUGAGCAACAGUGAAGAAAAGAAAAUGAUGGUGUGUUUGUGUCACUGGAUGAAGAAAUUGCAAACAGUAAUGGAUCAAAUGUUAAUGUUAGUGAGUCUGAGAAGAAAGUGGAUUUGUUUCGACAACAAGGAUUGAACAUUCUUCAGACUCUCUAUAGUGGGGCAGUUGAAGCGGUUCCUUAUAGUUUUGGUCUGAGAAAGCGGUUAUUUUAGAUAUUGGAAGCAACAGAGUUGGCAGAUUCAGAAGACAUGCAUAGGGAGAUCCUAAGUGAUAUAAGGAAAAAAUUUUCAAAAGAUCCAGAAUAUUGGGAUUGGAUUGCUAGACUUGAAAUGACUAAUUCUGGAACUAUACAGGAGAAGAUUGAAAAGGCGUCUUCCUGCCACAUCUACAAAAAGCAGUUCAGAUACACAAUUCCACAAAACCAUGUUUAUGAGGAGGCUUCCAUUAUGUUUAACCUAUUUAUAAAGUUCUUUAUGGAUGUUGUUGGGCGUAAAAGAAAAGAAGACCGAGUCUCUGGAUUACCCAAUCACACUGAAGAUUAUAUUUAAUAUUUCUCAUAUAUUGAGGAUAUACGAGAAAGCUGAGACAUUGGGAUGCAUUACUGAGGAUCUUGCUUUUGAAUAUGUGCCAUUUUACUUGCAACUAGGGAGACUAGAUGGAGGCAAGAAGCUAGCAGAAAAAUUUUUGAAGUGGAAAGCUUUCAAAUUUGGUAAAAUUAUGGCUUUUAAGGGCCUCUUUGGAAAUCAGAUGUCCUACAAAUAAUACUCCUGGACAAAGUAAGGUUGAUCUGCAAUCCGUCUUUGGACUUCUUUGAAGUUUGUUGACAAAAAUGUCAAUAACAGAAGCUAAGGACUUGUGGAUAAUGGUAUAUUUUUGUACUUCCGUAGUUCUACCAUUUCUGCUGUCCAAUUCUUAGAUUAUGUGACUGAUUAAUCUGCUUUCAUAUUUACCAGUCAUCACUGGCUCUAUUUCUUUUGCCUAUCAGAAAUAUCUGUUAAGAUAUGCAUCAUUUUCUGUAUAAAGUAUUUGCCUAAUGAAAAUACAAGUAUCACAGGCUUGUAACCCUUCAAAUAAAUAGCAAAGAUUUUGUUUGGAUGAAA